rnacentral:tRNA from 1 species
AUUAAGUUAAGUUAAGUUAAAACUGUUAGGUUGUGGUGCUAAAAAUAAAAAAAAGUUACUUAAUA